UUAGGUCGGGAACUCAAAGGAGACUGCCAGUGAUAAACUGGAGGAAGGUGGGGAUGACGUCAAGUCAUCAUGGCCCUUACGACCAGGGCUACACACGUGCUACAAUGGCGCAUACAAAGAGAAGCGACCUCGCGAGAGCAAGCGGACCUCAUAAAGUGCGUCGUAGUCCGGAUUGGAGUCUGCAACUCGACUCCAUGAAGUCGGAAUCGCUAGUAAUCGUGGAUCAGAAUGCCACGGUGAAUACGUUCCCGGGCCUUGUACACACCGCCCGUCACACCAUGGGAGUGGGUUGCAAAAGAAGUAGGUAGCUUAACCUUCGGGAGGGCGCUUACCACUUUGUGAUUCAUGACUGGGGUGAAGUCGUAACAAGGUAACCGUAGGGGAACCUGCGGUUGGA
rnacentral:rRNA from 17 species